rnacentral:rRNA from 1 species
CGGGUGAGUAAUGCCUAGGAAUCUGCCUGGUAGUGGGGGACAACGUUUCGAAAGGAACGCUAAUACCGCAUACGUCCUACGGGAGAAAGCAGGGGACCUUCGGGCCUUGCGCUAUCAGAUGAGCCUAGGUCGGAUUAGCUAGUUGGUGAGGUAAUGGCUCACCAAGGCGACGAUCCGUAACUGGUCUGAGAGGAUGAUCAGUCACACUGGAACUGAGACACGGUCCAGACUCCUACGGGAGGCAGCAGCC